rnacentral:rRNA from 1 species
CCCCGGCGCCACAAGUGGCAAUCACUUUUAUUGGGCCUAAAGCGUCCGUAGUCGAUAUGACAAAUCUUCUGUUAAAUCCUUGUGCUUAACACAGGGGCUGCAAGAGAGACUAUCAUGUUAGGGAUCGGAAGGAGAUAGAGGUAUUCCUUGGGUAGCGGUAAAAUGCGAUAAUCCUUGGAAGACCACCAAUGGCGAAGGCAUCUAUCUAGGACGAAUCCGACGAUCAGGGACGAAAGCUAGGGGAGCAAAAAGG